AUGUGGAGCCCCUGGCCCAGCAGACGAUAGGCAUCAGAGGGAAGGUGAGCCCAGUGAGCAAGGCAGUGCACCGACUUCUAACGUACAGUCCAACGUGACGGGGACCCUGCCUGAGAUGUAUGCAGCCUCACAGGGCCGGAGCCAACUCACAAUGAGG